rnacentral:lncRNA from 1 species
CUGCAGCGCCGCCGGCUUCAGCAGCAGCACGGAGUGCAGUGUUGUAUAUAUGUACAGUUCCGUGGGCUUCACACUCAUGGGAAUGGAAGAGCGCGAGGCGAGGAGUGAACUAUCGGGGCGUUUCAGUAGGGUUGUGCCGCUGAUUAACUCACCAAGAAGGCAAAGCCCUGUUUCCGUGCUUUAAUCAUUCAUACUAUCUCAUGUCAUCUCGGAAUUCUCUGGAACUGGAGUUAAUCCUGCGCUUACGACUGGUGGUUCUUCCAUUAAGCUGGAUUUGCAAUGUACCAUCUGUUAAAGGUUUGCAGGUACACUUACCUUUAUUUAUGUGCAUAGUUCCAUGUAAGUCAAUAGGACUACUUCCAGUACAUCAAAUUAAAAUGUUGCCCCACAGAUGGCUGCAUUUGCACAAAAAGCAUAGCAGAAGAUUGAUGUGGCAGCAGAAAAAAGUGGCAUAAAGAAGGAAGAGAACUGUCUAGAUCAAUUUUGCUGCUGGAGAAAAUGUAGUAUGGAAAUGAAUUCUGACUUGCAACUAAAGAAGAAAGAAUAAAAGCCUUUAAUGAAUUGAAAUAUCUGCA